rnacentral:rRNA from 1 species
CCCCAGGUCAGGCGGGGCUACCCGCUGAGUUUAAGCAUAUCAAUAAGCGGAGGAGAAGA